rnacentral:rRNA from 1 species
UACGAAGGGGGCUAGCGUUGCUCGGAAUCACUGGGCGUAAAGCGCACGUAGGCGGAUUGCUAAGUCAGGGGUGAAAUCCUGGAGCUCAACUCCAGAACUGCCUUUGAUACUGGCGACCUUGAGUCCGGGAGAGGUGAGUGGAACUGCGAGUGUAGAGGUGAAAUUCGUAGAUAUUCGCAAGAACACCAGUGGCGAAGGCGGCUCACUGGCCGGUACUGACGCUGAGGUGCGAAAGCGUGGGGAGCAAACAGG